rnacentral:rRNA from 1 species
GGCAAAGGUGAUCUAGGGACGUCCACUUAACUUGCGAGUCCGAACUCUCACUUUCUAACCCUGUGCAUCUGUUUUAAAAUUGGCUAGUAGCUCUUCGGAGCGAACCACCAUUUUUCACUUAUACAAACACAAAGUCUAUGAAUGUAAACAAAUUUAUAACAAAACAAAACUUUCAACAACGGAUCUCUUGGCUCUCGCAUCGAUGAAGAACGCAGCGAAAUGCGAUACGUAAUGUGAAUUGCAGAAUUCAGUGAAUCAUCGAAUCUUUGAACGCACCUUGCGCUCCUUGGUAUUCCGAGGAGCAUGCCUGUUUGAGUGUCAUGAAAUCUUCCACCCACCUCUUUCUUAGUGAAUCUGGUGGUGCUUGGUUUCUGAGCGCUGCUCUGCUUCGGCUUAGCUCGUUCGUAAUGCAUUAGCAUCCGCAACCGAAACUUCGGAUUGACUUGGCGUAAUAGACUAUUCGCUGAGGAUUCCAGACUUGUUCUGGAGCCGAGUUGGGUUAAGGAAGCUUCUAUCCUAAAGUCUAUUUUUGAUAGAUCUCAAUCAGUAGGACUACCCGCUGAACUUAGCAUAUCAUAGCGGAGGAAACGAUCUUUGUGCACCUGGACGUCCACUUACCUGCACCCGACUCCCCUUUCUACCCGGGCACCGUUUGAA